UACGGAGGAUGCAAGCGUUAUCCGGAUUUAUUGGGUUUAAAGGGUGCGUAGGCGGAUAUGUAAGUCAGCGGUGAAACUCACAGGCUCAACCUGUGCCGCGCCGUUGAAACUGUGUAUCUGGAAUGCGGAUGCUGUGGGAGGAAUGUGUAGUGUAGCGGUGAAAUGCAUAGAUAUUACACAGAACACCGAUUGCGAAGGCAUCUCACAAAGCCGUUAUUGACGCUGAGGCACGAAAGUGUGGGGACCAAACA
rnacentral:rRNA from 1 species